UAUACUGCAGUCGAGCGGACAGAUGGGAGCUUGCUCCCUGAAGUCAGCGGCGGACGGGUGAGUAACACGUGGGCAACCUGCCUGUAAGACUGGGAUAACUCCGGGAAACCGGGGCUAAUACCGGAUAAUUCUUUCCCUCACAUGAGGGAAAGCUGAAAGAUGGUUUCGGCUAUCACUUACAGAUGGGCCCGCGGCGCAUUAGCUAGUUGGUGAGGUAACGGCUCACCAAGGCAACGAUGCGUAGCCGACCUGAGAGGGUGAUCGGCCACACUGGGACUGAGACACGGCCCAGACUCCUACGGGAGGCAGCAGUAGGGAAUCUUCCGCAAUGGACGAAAGUCUGACGGAGCAACGCCGCGUGAGUGAUGAAGGUUUUCGGAUCGUAAAACUCUGUUGUUAGGGAAGAACAAGUACCGGAGUAACUGCCGGUACCUUGACGGUACCUAACCAGAAAGCCACGGCUAACUACGUGCCAGCAGCCGCGGUAAUACGUAGGUGGCAAGCGUUGUCCGGAAUUAUUGGGCGUAAAGCGCGCGCAGGCGGUUCCUUAAGUCUGAUGUGAAAGCCCCCGGCUCAACCGGGGAGGGUCAUUGGAAACUGGGGAACUUGAGUGCAGAAGAGAAGAGUGGAAUUCCACGUGUAGCGGUGAAAUGCGUAGAGAUGUGGAGGAACACCAGUGGCGAAGGCGACUCUUUGGUCUGUAACUGACGCUGAGGCGCGAAAGCGUGGGGAGCAAACAGGAUUAGAUACCCUGGUAGUCCACGCCGUAAACGAUGAGUGCUAAGUGUUAGAGGGUUUCCGCCCUUUAGUGCUGCAGCAAACGCAUUAAGCACUCCGCCUGGGGAGUACGGCCGCAAGGCUGAAAC
rnacentral:rRNA from 1 species